GGGCCCAUAGCUCAUUUGGUAGAGCGCUUCAUUUGCACUGAAGAGGCGGGGGGUUCGAAUCCUCUUGGGUCCA
rfam:Parcubacteria group bacterium CG2_30_44_11 cg2_3.0_scaffold_16707_c, whole genome shotgun sequence.